GAAUACCGAAAUAUAACAGGUGCCUGUAAAAAGGCUUAAAAGGGAAACCGGUGAAAAUCCGGUACGAUCCCGUCACUGUGAGCACGAGUCGACCCCAUUAUUCCACUGGCGAAACGCUGGGAAGGAGGGGAAGAUGAUGACUGUAAGUCAGGAGACCUACCUGUUAUAUUAGCUGCAUU
rnacentral:ncRNA from 23 species